AUACGGAGGAUCCGAGCGUUAUCCGGAUUUAUUGGGUUUAAAGGGAGCGUAGGUGGACAGUUAAGUCAGUUGUGAAAGUUUGCGGCUCAACCGUAAAAUUGCAGUUGAUACUGGCUGUCUUGAGUACAGUAGAGGUGGGCGGAAUUCGUGGUGUAGCGGUGAAAUGCUUAGAUAUCACGAAGAACUCCGAUUGCGAAGGCAGCUCAGCUGACUGCAACGAUCGCUGAUGCUCGAAAGUGGUGGAAGCAAACAGGAUUAGAUACCCUGGUAAGGCACACACUAAACGAUGAAUACUCGCUGUUUGCGAUAUACAGUAAGCGGCCAAGCGAAAGCAUUAAGUAUUCCACCUGGGGAGUCCGCCGGCAACGGGGAAACUCAAAGGAAUUGGCGGGG
rnacentral:rRNA from 1 species